ensembl:lncRNA
AUGCCUCGGAAAGGUAGGAGAUCCCAGGCUCAAAAAGUUUGUUGGAGAAAGUUAGACCUGACAGGACAGACGAGCAUCAGUAAAGGUGUUGCUCAGGUUUCUGAUGGACAGCAGUACGAAGAUGGCAACAACACAUCUAGAAUUCUAUCCGUGCAGGCGUCUCAUUGCCAGAGUGAUGCAAGGUAUGAUGUUUUCUCACGAAAUCAUCAGUGCACGUGUGUAGCUCUGACAUUCCUUGCGUACCACAGUGAGGGAACUUUGUUCGAACAGCCUGAUCUUGACAGAGUGCUAGAGGAAGGGGAUGCUUUGUAUGUUGGCAUUAAAAUGCAGCUUAUUGCUGAAGGAAGAUUCCGACAGGAUCUUCUAAGCAUGGGUGAAGUACCUGUGAGCAUCUCAACUUCUAACCACAACUACAGUGUCCAAAAGUCAGAAGUGUUGAUGGGAUAUCUGAGAGACAGAGGAACUCCUGAAAUGGACGCGUGGUGGAUUCCUCUUGACGAAAGACUUCAGUGUCUCUCAACAGAUGUCAGCCAUGCACUGCUUAUUGUUUCUCCAGAGUGCUUUGCUGUGUUCAGAGACAGUUCUGGAAGAUAUGGAUUUUUUGAUUCACAUUCCAGAACUGCUGAAGGUUUGCCACAUCCUACUGGUGACGGAACCGCAGUUAUGCUAACUUUCACCAACUUGCAUGACAUGACCAACAGAUUACUUGAGCUUUUUUGGAAUCGUGGUCCUCAGGCUUGCUAUGAGUUCAUGGCUGUUUCAUUUGAAAUGGAGCAACAGGCUGAGGAACCAUGCUCAUCAGCAGCAUGUGUGUCACCAUCAGAAGUAACUUCAUCUCUGCCAAAAACACAAACAAAUGCUGAUGUCAGAAUCCCUGAAAAUGUUGUUCUGACAGAUGACAAAAACAAAAGUGUCAUAAAGCUUUUGAAAACAAACAAGCAGCGAAGAAGAAAAGAAAUGCGUAAAAUUGUUUAUGAAAAGCAAGAUGCAGGACUAGAGGCUACAUCUUCACAUUUUGAAGUACGAAAACAAAAAAGAAGAGAAUAUGAGAGAGAGAAAUAUGCCACCAAUUUGCAGUUUCGGAUGAAGAAAAAGGAGAUUACCAAAAAGAAGUAUGAUCAAGAUCCUUUUGCCAGACACAAAAAGAUGGAAUACAUUACCAGGAGGUACAACACAGAUGUUCUCUUUCAAAAAAAGCAGAAGGGGUACAUAAUUAAGCGGUACCACACUGAUGCUCUUUUCCAAAGGAAAAUGAAGAACUACAUGGUCACGAGGUACAAGACAGAUGCUCUUUUCCAGAACAAAAUGAAGGACUACAUGUUCAGGAAGUACAAGAUUGAUGAUCUUUUCCAGAAGAAGAAGAAGGACUACAUGUUCAGGAGGUACAAGACCGAUGAUCUUUUCCAGAAGAAGAAGAAGGACUACAUGGUCAGGAGGUACAACACUGAAGAUCUUUUCCAGAAGAAGAAGAAGGACUACUUGGUCAGGAGGUACCACACUGAUGAUCUUUUCCAGAAGAAGAUGAAGGACUACUUGGCCAGAAGAUAUGCAAGUGAUUCAAAGUUUAGGUCACAUCACAUUCUACGUUGUACUCUCCAGAAGAAACAAAAGUGUCUCACCGAUCCUGGAUUCCAGAUUCUUCACAAGUUGAGAUGUGCAUUAAGGAUCAAGAGAAAAUACAAGCCAUACAUUUGUUCCAGCCAGGAUACACCCAAUUCUGAUGUGACAAACCAGCCUGUGUCCAACAGCUUAAUACAAAAGGCCAUAUCUGCAUUUCGGUGUCAAAUUCUGCAUGGUCCAACUUACAUCUGCACAGUCUGUCACAGGACCCUUUUUCCAAAUCAAGUCAAGAUGUGUAAUAGAACACGAUAUGUCAAAAAUGUUCAUAUUACAGCUUCUUGCUUAACCGGGAAAUAUGUUCAUGCUUGUGACAGUGCCUGCUCAGUUUCUUGUGCAGUUCCAGAAGAGCGAAGACAGGAGUGGAUCUGCCACACCUGUGACAAUCAUCUGAAAAGAGGAUCCAUGCCUUCUAUUGCAGCGGCAAACAGACUUGAAUUGCCUCCCAUCCCUGCAGAACUGCUUGAACUGAAUGUACUUGAACGACAGCUUAUCGCCAAAAUUGUUCCUUUUGCAAAAAUAGUUGCAUUGCCCAAAGGACAGCAAAGAUCAGUGUAUGGUGCUGUUGUGUGUGUGCCCUCUGAGGUGGAGAAAACAGUCAACUGCCUGCCAAGGCCUAACAGUGAGUCCCAGCUACUACAGGUGAAGCUGAAAAGACACAUCAAGUUCAGAGGAUACCAACACUUCCAUACAGUGAAUAUGCACAAUGUGCUACUGUUAUGUUGCCAAAUGAACACGUAG